CUGCUGCCUCCCGUAGGAGUUUGGGCCGUGUCUCAGUCCCAAUGUGGCCGUUCACCCUCUCAGGCCGGCUACUGAUCGUCGCCUUGGUGGGCUGUUACCCCGCCAACAAGCUAAUCAGACGCGGAUCCAUCGUAUACCACCGGGGUUUUUCACACCGUCUCAUGCGAGACUGUGCGCUUAUGCGGUAUUAGCACCUAUUUCUAAGUGUUAUCCCCCAGUAUACGGCAGGUUAUCCACGCGUUACUCACCCGUCCGCCA
rnacentral:rRNA from 1 species